rnacentral:rRNA from 1 species
UACGGGGGGGGCAAGCGUUGUUCGGAAUUACUGGGCGUAAAGGGCUCGUAGGCGGCCAACUAAGUCAGACGUGAAAUCCCUCGGCUUAACCGGGGAACUGCCUCUGAUACUGGAUGGCUUGAGAUUGGGAGAGGGAUGCGGAAUUCCAGGUGUAGCGGUGAAAUGCGUAGAGAUCGGGAGGAACACCGGCGGCGAAAGCGGCGUGCUGGCCCUCUUCUGACGCUGAGGCGCGAAAGCCAGGGGAGCGAACGGG